rfam:Arthrobacter cupressi strain SW1 SW1_scaffold_33, whole genome shotgun sequence.
CGGACGAACCUCUGGUGUGUCAGUUGUACUGCCAAGUGCACCGCUGAUUAGCUACGUUCGGAUGGGAUAACCGCUGAAAGCAUCUAAGCGGGAAGCUCGCUUCAAGAUGAGAUUUCCAAACACCCUCGGGUGUUGAAGGCCCCCAGCCAGACCACUGGGUUGAUAGGCCGGACGUGGAAGACAGGACCAACGACUGUCGAAGCCGACCGGUACUAAUAGGCCAACAACUUACACCAC